ACUGGAAGUUGGUGAACAUUGUCCCAAUUUUCAAGAAGGGCAGGAAGGAGGAGUUGGACUCAAUGUGAAAGUAACACUGGAUCUUGUGCUAAGGGCUUCAAAUGACCUGAUGAUCUUGCUACUUCAGUCAGUAUUUAUCGUGAAGAGCAUGCAAGCUAGACAAUUAAUCCAUCAGCAAAGGACCAGUUGGAGCUGCAGACAAAGCUGUUAGGAAGAACGCAGGAAAGCACAGAACAGUUUCAAACGUGAAAUGUCUCAAAGAGAAAAGUGAGGCCCUGUGAGAGUAGAGGGAGUGCUAAUAACAGGGAAAUGUCAUCCUCCAUCCAGUCAUUCUGAGGGUGAUGUGUAAAAAAAAGGAAAAAUCUGAAAAAUACGAUAUCUGUGUUCUGGUCAAAUUAUAGGAGAAACGAAUGUGGAGCAUCCUGACUGAGUUCCUCAAGCCUGUGCCUGAGGAAAAGUUUUAGAUACUCCAGAGAUCACUAAGGGUCAUGUUUUCAAAGGCAGAUGUGUCAGAGGAAGGAAGCAGGCAUACUGAGACUUUCAGAAGCAUUUUUGUAAGUCUUUUAUUUUGAUCAGCUGGAAUUGAGCACUGAAAAUUGAACCAGUGAUCUGCCUCAUUUGAUGUGUACCUAACUUGGCAAAUUUCUU